AGAGUUUGAUCCUGGCUCAGGAUGAAUGCUGGCGGCGUGCCUAAUACAUGCAAGUCGAGCGGCAGCGCGUCUAGUUUACUAGAUGGCGGCGAGCGGCGGACGGCUGAGUAACGCGUAGGAAUGUGCCCCAAAGUGAGGAAUAACUGCCCGAAAGGGUAGCUAAUGCCGCAUAUGGUCUUCGGAUUAAAGGAUUUAUCCGCUUUGGGAGCAGCCUGCGUACGAUUAGAUAGUUGGUGAGGUAAUGGCUCACCAAGUCGACGAUCGUUAGCUGGUCUGAGAGGAUGAUCAGCCAGACUGGAACUGAGACACGGUCCAGACUCCUACGGGAGGCAGCAGUAAGGAAUCUUCCACAAUGGGCGAAAGCCUGAUGGAGCAACGCCGCGUGCAGGAUGAAGGCCUUCGGGUUGUAAACUGCUUUUAUGAGUGAAGAAUAUGACGGUAACUCAUGAAUAAGCACCGGCUAACUACGUG
rnacentral:rRNA from 1 species